GCGGUGAUGGUCCAACGGCACGACACCAGAGUCCCAUCCUGGAGACGGGGGUUCGAUUCCCCCUCACCGCA
rnacentral:tRNA from 1 species